rnacentral:lncRNA from 1 species
CGUUUGCGCGGCCCGGGAGCCGGGGCGUGAUGGGGGAGAGGCUGCGGGGGUGAGGAAGGCCCGGGGUAACAGGUGCCUCACCUCGGCUGAUGGGAUUAACUCUAGGGCCGCAGAGAGAGGGAGCCCGGCAGCAAAAUCCCAGGAGAGGGAGAGAGAGGGAGCCUCUGGCGGCCAACGGAGGGCGAAAAUCACCGGCCCGAGGCGAGGCCGCCCCACCCCCUCGGCCGUGGGCGAGGGCCCUCAGGCCCGGGGCGAGGCCUGCCCUUCUAGGCCCUGUGUGCCUUUCUGCUCGGGCGUUGCUUCGCUGCUGGGGCCCCACAAGCUUUAUCAGCUAGUAAAUAAAUAUGGCUGGAUAUGAACCUCUGCUAGUCUCCACACAGAAUCUGUAUCUGGGAGCAAAACCUUUUCUCAAUUUCAAAACGUCUUUGUCUGACUUCUUACCUUAUUCGUGCAGAACAAACAGUCAAACAACUAUUUCCAUAUGAAUCCAGAUGCUGUUUUGAUUCUGACUCCACCUGAGGAUAGCGGAUUAGAUGGAGACACUGCUUCCAGUCUGACGGAAUGAUUUCAGCUGGUCCAGCCUAACUCAAAUUCAUCUUUACUCUGACGAAUUAGAUACGUCAGUUCUCUGGUACUUCUGCCAUGAAGUUAGUCUCUUGAACUUGAGCCAGAGAACCACUCCAAUUCCUGUUUGAACUCUGGAAUUCCCAUGUCAUUGGGCCUUACCCUGCCCUCCUUUGAAAUUCUCUCUCGUCUUUCUCUCUCUCUCUGUCCUUCAUCAUUCUCACCAGACAAGUAGGAGCUGUAUACCGAGUUAACUUUGAACAUCUAUAAAUGGCAAAUACAUGUUCAUUUCACUUGUUUCACCUUAGCCUAAGGAAUCAAGUUGAAUUAGCUUCUUCACUUAAAAAGCAAAUUAGCAAUACAUUUUAUUGGUCUCAUAAAAAUCAAGCAGCUUGAUUAUUAGUCUGAAACUUUAUAUUUGGUUUCAUUAAAUGUUUGACAAAUUUUAAAAUAUUUGUUGUAAACCAG